rnacentral:lncRNA from 1 species
CAAGAAGCGUUUGGUGGCCCUGGUCAGAAUAGAUUUUGGUGAAAUUGUGAGUGUAGAAGUCUGAUGGCAGAUAAAGAGAAAAGUCAGAAAGCCGAGACAAUGAUUUCACGCUAGUGUUCCAGCACCUGCCUUCAAAGGGAAGGAGAAAGACAGGAAUGUAUUCAGAGAGGGGUGCAGAGCUGUUUUAAGAUGGAGAGAUGUGAGCAUGCUUGCAGGCAUCUAGAGGGUGUCAGAAGGAGGAUAUCAGUAAAGAAUAAUCUGAUAAUUUUAAAAUGCUGGAGAGAAAAGAGAUGACUAAUGCUCCUUCAGGUGGUGGAAGACGAUUGCACCAGGAGAAAGAAGAGUUGGAUGGGAAGCAAGACUGCUGCUGGGAGGAGAGAAGAGGAAGUGAGGUUGGGGCCAACAGAGUAAACAUGGUGUCAGCCAACAUGACUAUUGCCUUGGAGUUUGUCCUUUUGGAAUGCUGCCCUUGCUGUGAAGAGCGA